rnacentral:tRNA from 1 species
GCGCCCGUAGCUCAAUUGGAUAGAGCGUCUGACUACGGAUCAGAAGGCUCCGGAUUCGACUUCUGGCGGGCGCGCCA